rnacentral:rRNA from 1 species
CAGUAGCCGCGGGAAUACCGAGGGUGCGAGCGUUAAUCGGAUUUACUGGGCGUAAAGCGUGCGUAGGCGGCUUUUUAAGUCGGAUGUGAAAUCCCUGAGCUUAACUUAGGAAUUGCAUUCGAUACUGGGAAGCUAGAGUAUGGGAGAGGAUGGUAGAAUUCCAGGUGUAGCGGUGAAAUGCGUAGAGAUCUGGAGGAAUACCGAUGGCGAAGGCAGCCAUCUGGCCUAAUACUGACGCUGAGGUACGAAAGCAUGGGGAGCAAACAGGAUUAGAUACCCGCGUAGUCCCUGUCUCUUAUAC